rnacentral:tRNA from 1 species
CAGGGAGACAACAAAAUGUUUAAUAUUAUUAUUUUGUCACCUUAGGUCGAUCGGUAUCUCACGUUCUUAAUUUAUUAAGAAUUUCAUUUCCUGAGUUUUUCUAGGUCACACCCAUUAUUUUUCCUGGGCCAUUAGCUCAGGUGGUUAGAGCGCACCCCUGAUAAGGGUGAGGUCCCUGGUUCAAGUCCAGGAUGGCCCAUAUCUCUAUGUUGGGGGUAUAGCUCAGUUGGUAGAGCGCCUGCUUUGCAAGCAGGAUGUCAGCGGUUCGAGUCCGCUUACCUCCACUGAUUACCACCUCUUGCAUAAUUUGCAAAAAAGGAAAUUUUUGAGUUGUGAUCAAAUUCUGAAAGAAUCUAGCUUCCUAAUGAAACCAUUAAGAUGCUGGACUCAUUGAAUUAAUUUCAUUGUUUUCAGAGAACCUUGACAACUGCAUAGAUUAUUUUUAAAGACAAUAAGCAUCUUUAAUGAUGCAGAUUUAUUAUUUGUGCGAAUGCAUUAAUAACAACUCUAUUAAGCUGAUGCUUCAAUUUUUGAAGUUAUU